rnacentral:lncRNA from 1 species
AAAAAUUCGCAUGAGUUUUUGAUCUAGCUUUUGCACAGAAAGGUUCAUCGUCAUCGUCCUGGUAAGUCUUUGUCUUAUUAUGUUUCUGAGUGAUUUGAUGCUACUUUAAUACCCCACUUGCGUUGUACAUUUUUGAUCGAUGUACCUUUGUGCUAGUAAGUUGUGAGAUUGGAAUAUGAAAUGAUUGGAGAUAAUUGAGCAACUGAUUUCAAAUUGGCAAUUUCGAUUCCAUAUCUAUUGCUUAUGUGAUUAUUUUGAUUUGAGAGGGAAGAAGGAUAAAAUUAAAAGCGUAUACUUCGGGUUAGGUUGCAGAGGAUUUUGAAACUGCUUGGUUUUGAACUCUUAGAGGACGAGUAUGGACUUAAAGGUUGUAAUCUAUAUCGGUUCUGGAUCAAGUGAAAAGCUUUUCUUUAUGUAUAUUCGCAGAAGAUUCAAACUUUACUGUUGUAGAUUACAGGGAUACCAGAACGAAGCAGUUCAUGAAGAAAGCUAGUAAGCAGAAUAACAUUAGAGUGGAAGGAAGAUACCUUUUGGGAGGCAUAAAAAAAAAAAAAGAGGUUACAUUUCUUCAGUAUUUC